rnacentral:rRNA from 1 species
CGGACGGGUGAGUAAUGUCUGGGAAACUGCCUGAUGGAGGGGGAUAACUACUGGAAACGGUAGCUAAUACCGCAUAACGUCGCAAGACCAAAGAGGGGGACCCUCGGGCCUCUUGCCAUCGGAUGUGCCCAGAUGGGAUUAGCUUGUUGGUGGGGUAACGGCUCACCAAGGCGACGAUCCCUAGCUGGUCUGAGAGGAUGACCAGCCACACUGGAACUGAGACACGGUCCAGACUCCUACGGGAGCAGCAUG